CUGAUUUUUUUUCCUUUUUGUUUUGUUCUUCUGUAAUAGUUACUUAUAAAAUACUAGUACAGUAAUAAAUAAACAAAACAUUAUUUUUCUCUUUCUAUCCCAAUCUCAUUGUAGAAAUUCUCGUCAGAAACAAGGUUCGUCCUUUUGUGUUAGUAAACAAGAAUAGAUUUUGAUUGUACCCUCGCUAAUCUUAUUAUUAAAAAAAAUCAAUUCUUUGGCAAGCUUCAUUUUGCAAAAAGAUUGGAUCUUUGUCAAGCUUCUUCUGCAAAAAAGAUCAGAUUUUUGGCAAGCUUCAUUUUGCAAAAAGAUCGGAUCUUUGACCUGCAAAAAGAUUAGAUCUUUGGGGUUUUGGCUUGAUUAGCAUAUCAGGUGCUUUAAUUGAUUCUUUUACUGUAAGAUCCGUUUCAGAAAAGUGGAAACAAAUUGAGGUUGGGUUCUGAUUUGAUUAAUUUUGUUGGACGUGGGUAGGUUUACAUAGAGGAACAUUGGGAUAAUUUGGAAUUACAUGUAAUUUUCACUUUGAUUGCUGAAUUUAAUAACAUGAGCUUAUUUCAAGUUGAGAUAAUUUGGGAAAUGUUAUUUUUCUCUACAAUAGAAAAUGAAAUGUGAGCUUCAAUUUGCUUGGAUUGCAUAUGUUGGAGGAUUAAUCUAAAUGCUAUUAAGAUGUAAGAAAACUACCAUAGUGGGUUGGCCAUGCUGCUUCAUGGAUAAAAGAUUUAUAAGGUUCAUUAUUGGUAAUAGAAGAUUUCUGAAGAUGAUGUUCUGAACCAAUAUCUUCUCUAAGCAGGUAUACUCUAGAUACUUGUUGUUUAGUCAUCUCAAGUUGGAUGUAAAACUGUUUUAACUUGCUACCGCUUUGUUUGGUAAAUCUGAUAAGCUUGUGCAUUUGUUUAAUUUGACAAACACAGUGAGACUUCUAAUGAAAUAACAUUCGCAUUAAACUUU